CGUGUAGGCGGCUUGGUAGGUCCGCUGUGAAAACUCGAGGCUCAACCUCGAGAUGUCGGCGGAAACCACUUGGCUAGAGUCCGGAAGAGGAGAGUGGAAUUCCUGGUGUAGCGGUGAAAUGCGCAGAUAUCAGGAAGAACACCUAUGGCGAAGGCAGCUCUCUGGGACGGUACUGACGCUGAGCGCGAAGCGUGGGAGCGAACA
rnacentral:rRNA from 1 species